CCAGGGGGAGUUCCACAGCCGAUACCGAGCCGUGAGCAUAAAAUACCAGGAAAUGUUCUUUAAACAGCUCAGCACAGUCACUGCUCCCAGAACCACAGCCGCCGUUUUCUCACUGCAAUAUUUACUUUUCAGCUUCUGGCAACAAAUGGCCACAAACCGAUCAAAGGUGAAAGUGACGGUGAACCAGACAGAGCAGUCAGUGGCUGCAUAAAGCAGGACGGCGUGGAUAUUACACACGGGGACGGAGUACCUCAGGAAAUAAAACUGUUCCUCAUAAACAAUGGGAAUGUGUCUCAGGAUCAGGUCGAGGAUAAUGACCAGGAGAUCCGCCGCUGCCAUGGCCCCCAGGUAUCUGUGUUAGCUGGCUGGAUACAGAAUUGGCUGGCCAACAGAAGACAGUGAGUGGUAGUGGAAGGAAAAUAUUCUGCCCGGAAGUCUGUGGGACAUAUAAACAUAUCUUCAAAUCAACCGAGACCAUUUUCUGCUCAGGGUAUGGCUCUGUGUAUGACAGCAGCAAUGAUGCACCGACAUGGAACAGGGAAUGUGAUGGAGACAUCGUUUGGACAAUGUACAAGGAGACCUCACAUGGUCCAGUAUUGGGAGAGAAUGACAUUAUUGUGUGAUUCAACUCAGAGAGGGAGAAAGUGUCAUCUGCCAGAGAAGAAACAGCCUAUUGCACUCGCUCUCCUUCAUUAUUCCUCAUCACAGUAACGUGCACGAGCUAAAACAAAAGUCUACUGUCAUCGUUACCAUUCUUAUUUUUAUAGAAUCCUGCAGUGUGGAAACAAGCCCUUCGGCCCAACAAGUCCAUACCAACCUUUAGAUUAGACUUACAGUGUGGAAACAGGCCCUUCGGCCCAACAGUCCACACCGACCCGCCGA